rfam:Trichosporon oleaginosus strain IBC0246 unplaced genomic scaffold CC85scaffold_32, whole genome shotgun sequence.
GGGCGUGUAGCUCAGUUGGUAGAGCGUGUCAUUAGCACCUGGUACUUGACAAGGUCUUUGGUUCGAUUCCUAACUCGUCCA